rnacentral:sRNA from 1 species
AUUCUGCCCAUGCGGGGAAGGACGAGAAGCUUCGACCAAGGUUCGACUCGAGCGUCAGCGAGAGAGCGUUGCCGCAGGCAACGACCCG